AAAAAAAUAAUAAAUUUAACCUUUUUAAAAAAAUUCAGCUUAUUUUCAGAAAAAAAAACUCACCCCGAUAAUGUUGAUUUUGAUAUAGGAGGUUUAGCCAAUGGCGUUACAGGUCUCAAUGCAGUAUUUAACUGCACUUCAAUUUGUGCACUGUUAUCAAAUGAUGGGCAGAAUAUUAACAAGAUUAAACCCUAUCAAUCUGUACUGGCUUGCGUGACCUUUGGAAUAGGGCUGGUACAUAUUUAGCCGUGCACUACGGUGCUCAUAAUAAACAGUGCAUGAUUCAGAGUUUGCAAAUGGAAAAACAGCACGGGCUUGUGAUCGCGAAUCACUUGUGGUGAAAAAAGGAAGAUCCAGUUGGGUUUGGUGGUCACAUGCUGUUCAAGUUGACAGUUUAGUCAGACAAUUAGCCUCAUUGUGGGGCUGGCUUCAGAAGGAAGUGCAUUGUUGCCUGUUUUUGGUGUGAAAAACAAAUCAACAUAUUACAAAGUACACAGAUUUCCUCAUCUGAUCGGGAGUUUCCAAAACCAACAAGCUGCACCGAGUCAGUAGAUUUCCUGAAUAUUUGCAGUUGAAUGCACCGGUGAUAUAAAUAGAGGAAGUACUUGCAACUGAUUGUUCAAGGAAUAUCACCAAUAUGGACCACUUUGCAAAGUCAUUCAUUGAUGAGACUGGGUAUGCAGAGCUGAAGAAGCACAUGAGACAAGCCACGGACUUCAGUUCCUCAGUGAUGAGCAUCUUCCAAGAAAGAGCUGAAAUAGAGUCUACCUAUGCCAAAAGUAUUGCCAAGCUGAACGCCAAGGCCCUGAAAUGCAACAAAGAUGCCACAGGAUCAUUAAUGGCUGCAUGGAAUAUUUUUUGUGGACAUCUCAACAACGAAGCAGAACAUCACAAAGUAUCAGCUGAGUGUCUUCAUGAGGACAUCUACAAAAGACUCAAGACCUACUUUGAUAUGCACAUGAAAGCUCGAAAAACGGCAGAGGCGAAUGUCGACAAGGCGUGCAAGGCAUGGCAUGACAAGCGGGCUGAAAUGGUGAAGGCUAAGAAGGUGACCCACUCCAAGACCAAGGAGAGCGAAGGGAUGCAAGCUAUCUUGGAGGAUCCCACCGCCAAAGGGAAGGUGCUUUCAGACAAGGAGCUGGGAAAGCUACAAUCCAAGAGCAGAAAAGCUGACGAGGCGGCAUCCAAGGCGGACAUGGACUACCUGAACCUCACCAAGGCCACUGAGAGAGCGAGGCACGAGUUUGAGAAGGUCCUCCGCCAGGCGGUGACCACGCUGGAGAAGCUGGAGAAGGAGAGGAUCGGGCAGCAGAAGGAGGUGAUGUUGUCCUACUCGGCUUGCCUGUCCAAGAUGUUGGAGCCACUGCAAAAGGAUAUCAGCGAGAUGACGCACGCAGUGACCUGCAUUAAUCCUGAUACUGAUGUCAUGGCCAUAGCUCAGCAUAAAAGUCGCCAUGGAGAACACGUCUCCCAAGUCCUGUACGACCCUUACGAGGAGGAUUUGUCCAACAGCAUGACCCUGAACAGGCGACGUCAGUCUCUCCACAGCAAGCUGCAAGCUCUGGACAGCGAGAUCCAGAAGGAGACGAAGGUCAAAGCGGGCAUAGCUCGUCUGUCGGGCGCUUACGCCGACAACCCAAGCUAUGCAGACGCCAACGCCAAGGAAGAUGUUGUGCAGCAGAUGGGCCAUUCGGAGGAGAUGAUCAAUAUGCUUCGCGCCAGCAAGUUCAAGAUCAUGGCAGCCAUCGCCCUGAUGGACAAAAAGCCCAAGCCCAGCGAUGACAUCAGCUCCUUCAUCAAGACGGAGAAAGACAAGCACCAAGGAGUGAAUGUUAGUGUCUUGAAGAUGCCUCGGCCAACUGCUCCGAUGUCAUCAGUGAGUGAGGUGGAUGGGCGGGGAAUGGCCGAUGGUGCUCACAAUUUACCGUUGAGCCCGUCUGAUAGCAAUAGUGUCAACAGUUUCGAUGGAGAGCAAGUGCGGCCCGUGAUCGGACAGUGCAUGGCUAAGUUUGACUAUGAGGCUCAAGAACCGGAGGAAAUAUCGCUAAAAGAAGGGGAUGUCAUCAAUGUCAUCCAGAAAUUCGAUGACGGAUGGUGGUUUGGAGAGAUCGGUGGACAACGGGGCAACUUCCCUGGUUCCUAUGUCGAUUUACUAUGAAGCUAAGUCUUGCUUUGCUCAAGCUCAACAUCAGGCAGGGAACCAGCGAACCAAACAACGUACAAGCAUGGAGAAAGAGGUUUGGAUUAUGUAUGCAGUGUAAGGGCAUUUAUUCAACCAGCAGUACACAGAAAAAUGUACCAGAAUGUACACUCUGCCAAGUAUUCAAUUUAGGAUACAAAAGAAUGAAUAUUCAUGAGUGCAAUGGUAAGAAUAUUGUCAUAGGUUGGAAGAUGGAAUGUUCCAUUCAACUCGCCUGCGGCUUGUUGAAUGGAACAUUUCAUCUUUCAAUUCAUGAAAACAUUCUGACCUUCGCACUCAUGAAAAACAUUCUCUAUUUGUUUUAUAUAACAUCUAAGUAGAUCUUUGUCAUAUCAUUGGAGGGCAACAUUUAUAAAAUAUGUAAAUAUAAAUAAGGUACUUUUCUUCUGUCAUCUGCUUUUUUCCUGGUCCAUUAUAUAGAUUUCUUCAAACUUGGUGUCCAAUUGAAAAGUUAAAGCGAAAAGACAAAAUUUCCUCUUCAUUCAGCAACAGGAAAUUGCUUGAACCCGCCGCCAUUUUAGUGACCAUGGGCAUAACAAGUGCCCUCUGUUGACCAGUUAUGUAUUGAAGUCCUUCGCGUGCAAUAGAUCAAACUGUGCAUGUGACCAAAAAUGCAGAGUGUAUAUAACAAAUUUCAACGUUUAUGACGUUAGCCGUGAAAUAGCCUGUUUAUAAAAUAUCAAAUGACCUACAAUCCUCCAAUCAAAUGACAAGGAUCUAUAAAAAUACAUAUAUAACCACUUCCAAAAGCAUUUAAGACAACAUAUAUGUAAAUUUCAUACACAUAGAAAGUACUCUACUCUGUAAAUACUAUGAGAGAUGCGGUUUAAUGGUUUGGACUUCGGUUUUUGGCUUUUCUUUUUUAAGAGUGCAUUUGAUUAUUACAUCUUUGUUUUCAUUUACAUGUACGUGUAGUUGGCUUUGAAUAUUCAUGUCAUGAAGAUAUUUCAGUGCUGCAGAAGUAAGUAAUAGGAGUUUCAGUGAUGGGGAGAUGCAUAUCAAGUACACAAAACUUCUUUUUUUCCCGACAAAUUAGUGACCAAAUAUCGAAUGCAUAAGCAUUGGACAUGGUCGGAACAUCUACAGAGCAAAAGUGUCCAAUUCUUCCAAAGGAUUCCGACCAUAUUUCACAAAAUUUAGACUUUACAGAGUGACAAUGCUGUCGCUGGUGCAUGUAGUUUUAGUGUAGCUCUACUUGUUUGAUACUGGGAUUGCUAUUUCAACAGUGCUUUGAAAAGAUGUGGUACUUUGACAAGAUAUGGUACUUUCACAAGACAUGGUACUUUGACAAGAUGUGGUACUUUGACAAGAUUUGGUACUUUGAGAAGAUAUGGUACUUUCACAAGACAUGGUACUUUGACAAGAUAUGGUACUUUGACAAGAUGUGGUACUUUGACAAGAUGUGGUACUUUCACAAGACAUGGUACUUUGACAACAUAUGGUACUUUAACAAAAUAUGGUACUUUGAGUAGACUUUUUUCCCGGUCAUGCAGUGCAGUACAACAUCAAAAAUGUAGAUUUUUUCUUCUGACCUAAAGUCAAAGUUUUCUUAGUUUUAUUAAAAAUGCAAGUUUUACUCUUGAAGAAGUAAGGUUUGGUCCAAACUUAAAUUUUGGUAAAAAAUCAGAUAUUUAAGCUAGUUACAGAAUUGUUACCAGUUUUGAUGAAAACAUGGUUUAACUGAGAAACAAAACCUCAGAUUUUGCCAAGGUUUUAUGAAGUGCAAGAGUAACCUUUUGCCGAUUUGAAUUUUCACCCAAAUUUUAUAAAAAUGCAACAGUAACCCUUGCAAUUUUUAAUUUCGGAUCAAAAUCAGAUUCUGCCCAGAUCUAAUCAGAAUGAUAGGCUUACCCCUACAGAUAUGACCUUUUGAUGAAAAUCAGAUUUUUGCCUUUAUUUAAUAAAAUGAAAAGUUAACCCCUUGCAGAGUGAAAUUUCAGACCAAAAUCAGAUUUUGCCCAAAUUUACGAAAAAAAUAAGAGUUACCCCCUGCACUUUUCAAUUUUAGACCAAAAUCAGAUUUUGCCCAAUUUUAAUAAAAAUACAAGAGUAACCCCUUACAGUUGUGAAUUUGUGACCAAAAACAGAUUUUGCCCAAAUGUAAUACAAAAUGCAAGGGUAACCCCUUAUAGAUUGGAAUUUGUGACCAAAAUCAGAUUUUGUCCAAAUUUAAUAAAAAUACAAGAGUAACCCCUUGCAGUUGUGAAUUUGUAACCAAAAUCAGAUUUUGGCCAGAUUAGAUAAAAAGCAAGAAGUUAACCUUGCAUUUUUAUUAAAAUUGGGCAAAAUCUGAUUUUGGCCAGAUUAAAGAAAAAGCAAGGUUAACCCCUUGCAGUUUUUAAUUUGUGACCAAAAUCAGAUUUUGCCCAAUUUUAAUAAAAAUACAAGAGUAACCCCUUGCAGUUGUUAAUUUGUGACCCAAAUCAGAUUGUGCCCAGAUUCAAUACAAAUGCAAGAGUUACCCCCUUACAGAAAUGAAUUUUUGACAAAAACACAUUUUGCCCAAAUGUAAUACAAAAUGCAAGGGUAACCCCUUAUAGAUUGGAAUUUGUGACCAAAAUCAGAUUUUGUCCAAAUUUAAUAAAAAUACAAGAGU
rnacentral:misc_RNA from 1 species